rnacentral:rRNA from 1 species
GUCCGCACGGUAAACGAUGGAUGCCCGCUGUUGGCCCAUGAGGUCAGUGGCCAAGCGAAAGCGUUAAGCAUCCCACCUGGGGAGUACGCCGGCAACGGUGAAACUCAAAGGAAUUGACGGGGGCCCCGCACAAGCGGAGGAACAUGUGGUUUAAUUCGAUGAUACGCGAGGAACCUUACCCGGGCUUGAAUUGCAGACGACGGUGGCAGAGAUGCCAUUUCCCUUCGGGGCGUCUGUGAAGGUGCUGCAUGGUUGUCGU